GUUGAAUUAAAAGAGUUAUUAGAUUUUGAAUUCAGUACAUGCAAUCUAAGGGUAGUAAGUAACCCGAUUUGCUAGUGGUUGUCUCUUGAGCUAUAUCUUAAGCAAUUUGACAAGGUUUUGGCUCAAAACUUCAAGAAAUUUGUAAUUUCAUGUUAAUAAACUUUGUGCAUAAGUUUUAUGACAUUUAAGUAUUGGGUUCUUGAGAUAUUAAGAAAAUAGUGUUUGGGUGCUUGUAAAUUAGGGUUUGGAGCAUCUACUAGGGUUUCUUAGAUUCCAAAAGAUCGGAGGUGAAUUUGCGGUUGAUUCUUUUUGUGGUAAAAUUAAAGGGUGAAUUCUAUGUAUUUUGUAAAUUUAAAACAAAUUGAACGGUUAGAUCAAGAGUUAUGAUUUUCUAAAGUUCGGGACAAGAAAACCCUUUGCGGAAAAAAUAUGUUUUGAAGGGGUUUUGUUAUAUUUUGAGUUUUAUGCAAAAUAAAGGAGUUUUGGGAGGCUAAAACAAGAUUCAUAUAAAGGUUUAAACUACACUCUCUAUAUCUAGAUAUCCAGUGUAUUCCUAGAUAGCAAAUCAUGCCAUAUGACAAUGGGAG
rnacentral:lncRNA from 1 species